rnacentral:lncRNA from 1 species
UUUUUUUUUGGUUAUGAUUUCAAGCAUGCAAUGCAAUAUCUAGCAGUCCCAUUGAAAGAACUAUUUACUUUCCCCUUGCAAAAUGGUCAUUGUAUUUGACAGGUAAGAAUAAACACAAUUUAGCAUCCAGUAGAUGUGAACCCUAUUUCACUUUUGCCAAAUGUCUUUAGAGUUUCAGUCACUCACGUUAAUUAACCAUUUUUUAUCUCCAUAUAGGGCUAUAUUUGUCAGCAUGUUCAACUUGUGAAACCGACAUGCUAACAUCCUUCUUUAUCAAUGAAAAUUGUGAAGCUUCUCCAAGACUUUUGAAGAAAAAAAAGGUUAGUGUACAUGUUUCUUAAUUUUAAAGAAUUGCCGCCGACCGCAAGUGUAUUGGUGGUCAUCUCAAGAUCUCACCCAUGGAACAGCAUCAGUUUUCUAUAUCGCUGAUCACCUAUGCCUUAAGAAUUCCAGUUGAUGUAUUCUCGCCGUAUUAGUUCUCAUGCUGGACAUUCAACUUUGGUCUAUCUUCUUUCAUGAUUAAACAUUCUGGGCCGUAUACGACAGUUGAUACAAUCCUAUGUUGUCCUGAACUAACUCCGGUGUAUAGGAACGUUGAUCAUGGGAGAAUGCAGCAGAACUGAAAAAUAAUUAGCAUACUUACACUUAGCCACCACUUACCAGCUUAAACCUGAAUGUCUUAAGUAUUUUUUGCAGUUUAACAUGGCACAUACGUACUAUAUGCAGUUUAACAUGGUUCUCUUACUUCAUUAUUGGUUGUGAAGGUCACAACUACGUACACCUGGCAAAUGAACUUGG